AGUGAACGCUGGCGGUAGGCCUAACACAUGCAAGUCGAACGGCAGCACAGUAAGAGCUUGCUCUUACGGGUGGCGAGUGGCGGACGGGUGAGGCAUACAUCGCAAUCUACUUUUUCGUGGGGGAUAACGUAGGGAAACUUACGCUAAUACCGCAUACGACCUACGGGUGAAAGCAGUGGAUCUUCGGGCCUUUCGCGAUUGAAUGAGCCGAUGUCGGAUUAGCUAGUUGGCGGGGUAAAGGCACACCAAGGCGACGCUCCGUAGCUGGUCUGAGAGGAUGAUCAGCCACACUGGAACUGAGACACGGUCCAGACUCCUACGGGAGGCAGCAGUGGGGAAUAUUGGACAAUGGGCGCAAGCCUGAUCCAGCCAUACCGCGUGAGUGAAGAAGGCCUUCGGGUUGUAAAGCCCUUUUGUUGGGAAAGAAAAGCAGCAGGUUAAUACCCCGCUGUUCUGACGGUACCCAAAGAAUAAGCACCGGCUAACUUCGUG
rnacentral:rRNA from 1 species